GCGGUAUGCUUAACACAUGCAAGUCGAACGGAUGUUUUCGGACAUUAGUGGCGGACGGGUGAGUAACGCGUGAGAAUCUGCCUAUAGGUUGGGGACAACAGAUGGAAACGUCUGCUAAUACCCGAUGUGCCGAAAGGUAAAAGCUUUAGUGCCUGUAGAUGAGCUCGCGUCCGAUUAGCUAGUUGGUUGGGUAAAGGCUGACCAAGGCGACGAUCGGUAGCUGGUCUGAGAGGAUGAUCAGCCACACUGGGACUGAGACACGGCCCAGACUCCUACGGGAGGCAGCAGUGGGGAAUUUUCCGCAAUGGGCGAAAGCCUGACGGAGCAAUACCGCGUGCGGGACGAAGGCUUUUGGGUCGUAAACCGCUUUUGUUAGGGAAGAAGAACUGACGGUACCUAACGAAUCAGCAUCGGCUAACUCCGUGCCAGCAGCCGCGGUAAUACGGGGGAUGCAAGCGUUAUCCGGAAUUAUUGGGCGUAAAGCGUCCGCAGGUGGUUUAUCAAGUCUGCUGUCAAAGCGUGGGGCUUAACCCCAUAAAGGCAGUGGAAACUGAGAGACUAGAGUACGGUAGGGGUAGCGGGAAUUCCCAGUGUAGCGGUGAAAUGCGUAGAUAUUGGGAAGAACACCAGCGGCGAAAGCGCGCUACUGGGCCGAAACUGACACUCAUGGACGAAAGCUAGGGGAGCGAAAGGGAUUAGAUACCCCUGUAGUCCUAGCUGUAA
rnacentral:rRNA from 1 species